UACGAAGGGGGCUAGCGUUGUUCGGAAUUACUGGGCGUAAAGCGUGCGCAGGCGGUUGUGCAAGACAGAUGUGAAAUCCCCGGGCUUAACCUGGGAACUGCAUUUGUGACUGCACGGCUAGAGUGCGGCAGAGGGGGAUGGAAUUCCGCGUGUAGCAGUGAAAUGCGUAGAUAUGCGGAGGAACACCGAUGGCGAAGGCAAUCCCCUGGGCCUGCACUGACGCUCAUGCACGAAAGCGUGGGGAGCAAACAGG
rnacentral:rRNA from 1 species